AUUGAACGCUGGCGGCAGGCCUAACACAUGCAAGUCGAACGAGUGGCGGACGGGUGAGUAAUGUCUGGGAAACUGCCCGAUGGAGGGGGAUAACUACUGGAAACGGUAGCUAAUACCGCAUACCAUCGGAUGUGCCCAGAUGGGAUUAGCGUGUAGGUGGGGUAACGGCUCACCUAGGCCACGAUUCCUAGCUGGUCUGAAAGGCUGACCACCCUCCCUGGAACGGUGACCCCGUCCAGACUCCUACGGGAUGCAUCAUUGGGGAAUAUUGCACAAUGGGGGCAAGCCUGAUGCAGCCAGGCCGCGUGUAUGAAGAAGGCCUUGGGGUUGUAAAGUACUUUCAGCGGGUAGGCGUUACUCGCAGAAGAAGAACCGGCUAACUCCGUGCCAGCAGCCGCUGUAAUAC
rnacentral:rRNA from 1 species